rnacentral:misc_RNA from 1 species
GCAGAAGGAAACAAGUAGCACCUCUGGAAUGCGUGAGACUGUUGAAACUAGUGCACUCAUAGAACACAGGGCAAAGGAAGUAGUUCCAAAGCGAAUAAUUCAGAUGGAAGAAGCCAUACAAAAACGUGAUUUUGCAACUUUCACUCAUUUGACUUGUGCAGACAGCAAUCAGUUUCAUGCAGUCUGCCUGGAUACUAGCCCUCCUAUAUUCUACAUG